rnacentral:sRNA from 1 species
CUGAUAUAACCGGAAACUGAAGUUGUCUAUCUACAGAGCACACAGAGCAUCAGUACAAGUUUCUCUACAAUGUCUCGCAAACAUGUUCCAUCAUUCUGGAAGGAAGACCUCUAAGGUUGAAAGUGUAGUUCCAGUCUCCAUGCACAUUCAGUUCUUGGCUACU